UUAAUUGUUACAGUAACUCAUUCUCGCGAGAUCUGGCAAUGUAUGCCUAUGGAGAGCAUCAUCCUCUCGCGAGAACAGAAAGGUGUAUCCAAACAGUUUUAACCGUUGGUUUCCGAACGUUGUAGCUAACUAAUUUUCGUAAAGUGAGAACGGACUAUGACCGAGUCUUUUCUCCUAGAGUCACUGAAGUAAGUAGCUAUAUUUGAUCAUUUUCACACGCCACAUGUCUUCUGAACAUUCUGAUACAAAAAGGUAAUUUUCUAACGGACAAAACAGGAGAAUAUUAACUUUAUUCGACACUUUCCUGUCUCGCAACGUUUGUCAACGGUUAACGGUUUCCUCUCGCGACAACAGAUGGCGUUAUAGCCCAACGGUAAUAGAACCCUUUACAAACGUCUUGGUAACUAACUUUAAUAAUGCUAGAAUGUGAUUGUCAGCUGUUUAAAUAUCUAAUGUUAGCAACACAAAAUAUAAACACAUUAUUGUUGACGUUCACAAGACUUCUAAACUAGUGUCAGGAGAGGUUUAAAGCGCCUUCUUCCUUCAUCCAGCAACAGCUGAAAAAGACUCCUCUGGUAACAACUUACUGCGGCAGUUUCACAUUAAAAGCUUUCAACGGGCGAUACACGAUGCGACUUUUAUUGUGAAAUACAGACAGGAAACUGUGGUUUGUCAGUUACUUUGACGCUCUUUCAUAAAAAAUGACUCAACAAAAACAAUAGAAAAUGUAAACACUAGUUUCCACAACGGAUCAGUUUUAACUAUUAAAACUAUUAGCAGUAAAUAAUAGUCAGGAUCAGCCACAACGAGCUGGAGAGUCUUUUCCAUGUGAUGGUGAGCAGCAGCAUCAUGAAGGAAACCAGAGUUGCCUUUCUCCCAGUCGUCUCUCACAGUGAGUCUACUUUUACUCGUCAUAUUUCUUUACCAUUUAACAUCUAUAUUGUUUUAAAUGGUACCUUUUCAUGCAUUAUAACUGUUUUCUUUCUGCUGCAUUUUAAGCAGACAGUGUGUGCACUCAUCUGUAGUGUGUGUGACGGCUCUGUUUGUCUCUUUUCUGUUGUAACGAUGUUCAUGCUGCCUGUGAAAGUGAUUUUAAUCUCAAUGAGUCUUUACCUGGUUAAAGAAAAGAAAAAGCAGUGCAGUGCAGAGCCUCACAGUGUUGGUGUUAAGAACCAAACAUAGAGGGCGUUGUUUCUUCAAGUUUAUAUUCUCAG